UUUUUUUUUGUAUUUUUAAAAAAUUACAGUUGAUUUACAAUGUUGUGCCAGUGCAGUCACUUUCAACUGGCCCCAACCACUGCUACCCCCAGCUCCAGGCAACCACCAAUUGCCUAUUCUAGAUGACCACACUAUGUGGCCUUUCUCAUCCUACCACUUUUGGCUGGCAUAAUAUUUUUAGGACUCAUCCAUGUUGUAGUGUGUAUUAGUAUUUCACUCCUUUUCAUGGCCGCAUAAUAUGCCAUUAUGUGGACAUACCACAUUUUGUUUAUUCAUCUGUCCAUUAACAGACAUCUUGGGUUGUCUCUACUUCUUGGCCAUUGUGUAUAAAGCUGCUGCUAUGAACAUUUGUGUACAAAUUUUUGCACAGACAUAUGUUUUCAAGUUUCUUGUGUACAUGCCUAAAAGUAGAAUUGUUGGGUCAUGUGGCAAUUCUAGGUUUGAACACAUAAGGAACUGACAGGCUUUUUUCCAAAGUAUUUACAUUUCCACUAGCAGUGUAUGAGUGUUCAAUUUCUCCUCAUCUUAGUUAACACUGACUAUUAUCUGUCUUUUUAAAUUAUAGUCAUGCUUGUGGAAACACUGUAUUUUGAGGCAGUUCAUCUAUAACAUCCACUGAAUUGGAUGUUGGCAGACAUUGCAUAUUUUAUAAACCAAAAAAGAAACAUUUUAUAGAUUGGUAACAGUCAUUAUAAAAGUAGGAUUAAAUAGUCCAAACCCAAAAGCGAAACAAUUUAAAAUAAAAAGUAGAAGUUAAAAAAAAUUAAAAAUGAAACAAGUACAUUUCAAGAGGAAUGACCACAACAUGAACUCCUGUGACCACAGAUCUGUCACUUUUUUGGUACAUCAGUCCGUAGCUAACCUACUAAUCAGAGCUCAAGAAAGUUGUGCCCUUUUUGGAGAGGUACAAGCACAUCUGCUGGCUUAUUCUAACCAUCAGAAAUCAGACAAUAAAUCCCAUUAGUAGUGGAUGAAGCAUUUUAUCAGCAACAAAGAUUAACUGCAAAAUUAAUGCUGCAAAGCCUCUAUUUUUGGAAUAUUGAAAAAACUGAAUUAAACAACAGAAAUUAAUCAUAAGUGAAAAAAAAAGAAAUUAAGCAUAAGCGAAUGCACUAUACACAGCACAAAAAUGUUAAUGAACGGGAAGGAAGAUGUCACAAGAAGGAAAAGUCUGAACUAUGUUUUACAAAACGACAAAGCGGGCACUUAGGAAAACAGUGACUUAUAUUAGUCAGAUGCUCAGACCUUUGCUAACUCUAAAUACAUCUCUGAAAACUUCACCCCACUCUAUCCCAAGAGCACUUCAUAUGUUUGCUUGUAAUACAUAAAUGGCAGAAAACUUUUAUUUAUAUUUUUAAAGCACACGUAAACCAGUAGAGGUGCACCAACAAGGCAACAGAAAAAACCAUAAAGGAUAAAUAUGGCUUCUAAAAUAACGACUCCAAGUCUCAUUCAUAAUUCUAGUGGUAUGCAUUAAAAUAAUAAUGACAUAAUAGUUAUUUAGAAAUUGAAAAUACAAACAUAUUUUUCUGUUGACGUUUCUAACGCAUGAACUGUCUCAGACACAAACUCCCAUUAGUUUGCAGAAAGGUCGUCUUUAAAGAAACUCAAUUCCUUCAUCUACAGUCAUUUUCUCCCGAUCUUGUCUUAGCUCUUAGAUAAAAAAGGCCCAAGAGCUCACAAAACAUAGGCAUAUUCCCAUACCAAUUUAGACUUGUAAGACUUUCACAGAACAUAGCAUCAAACUUUGUUAUAAAGAACUACAAUUUUGGAGUUCCCAUUGUAGCUCAGUGACUAGCAUCCAUGAGGAUGCAGGUUCCAUCCCUGGCCUCCCUCAGUGGGUUAAGAAUCCAGUGUUGCCAUGAGCUGUGGUGUAGGUCGCAGAUGAGGCUUGGAUCCUGCAUUGCUGCAGCUCUGGCAUAGGCCAUCAGCUACAGCUCNCAAAAAAAAAAAAAAAAAAAAAGAAUUAAAAUUUCAACAAGAACUAACUAGAAUUUUACCACUCCCAGUCUGUUUUAUUCUUCUUUUCUUUCUCCACAUAAGUGCCUGAGCAACAGGAUUUGGCGAAAGUCUUUUGACUAUAAACCUUUGGUAGCUUAUGAAUUGUGGAAUAUCCUGACCGUAAUACCUAACGAAAAUUAUUUAACCUGUAGCUAGAUAAGGAAUGAUGGCUGUCCUUGAGUGGUUUCAAUGAAUAUUCUUUUAGGAAUUACAAGAUUCUAAUUACCAUAUAUCUAUAUUCUUUUCAGCUGGUUCAUUUAAAAAUUGAUCAGAGACAAAAAUUAUUUUUGAAAAGUCUAUUUUGCAAAAACGUAUGCCUUUUUUCUUAUAUAAUCUAUUUUACUUAUACAGAAUGCUUCCUUUUUUUCUCUUUAUUAAACAGAAAAUCAUUGUGCCAAGUUUCUACUCUCUGUUCAGACUCUACUUGAACAGCAAACAAUUCAAGAUACACAGAUGAUAAAUCUUGACAGAAUUUUUUCAGUGAACAUUGGUCACUCGCUCGACAGAAUAAAAUUUUUGAUUGUGCUUGUUUCGUUAAAAGUCUUCAUUGGUUCUCCUUAAGCCUGAAAAUAAAAUCGUGUUAAGCUACCCUCCCCACUUCUCUCUGCCUAUUCUAACCUAUUCUCGACAGGUGCUACUGGUGAACUUUCACCCUAUUUUUGGUCUAUUGUGCCUUAUUAAAUCUGAACCGCAUGUGCAGUCAAAGAAAAAGUGAUAUUCUUUUAGUCAUUUUAAACUACUGUUUCCUGAUAUUCCAUAUAUAAGUCAUAUUUCAGCAGGUUUUUUCCCCCCUGCCAUCUCACGAGUCUGUGUGUUAAAAUUCAGGAAUAUAUUUUUGGAACAGUUUGGUGUAGUUUAGUGGUUUUCAGGAAGCAAAUUUAAGGGAUUUCUUGUUUCUUUUCCCUCCUAGCCAGGCAGGAGCAAGGAGACAGGAUGGUGAAAGCUGGGGAAGGUAUGAUGGCACAGCGGUGGCAGAAUGUGGUCACCAAGGGCCACAGGACGCUGCAGGGACCUGGGGGAGGGGGUCCACACUGUUGUUUCAUGAGGCCUCAGUGAUGCCCUUUGGAGUAAAAAGAACGUGGUUGCCCAGAACACAACUGUCCUACAUCCGUGCAUGGGGUGGGUGGUUAUAGGAGUGACCCUGGCGGACACAUAGGCUCACAGAUAAGGUUGUCUACACCUGCCCACUUCUCUGUGAAUAUACGUUCUCAGGGGCCUGGAGGAAAUCCAAGAUCAUCUGAGGGCUCCUUCGUGGAGAAAGAAGUCCAGAUCCCAGUUUAUAUGCAAAAACACGAAACACGUGUCUUACUCUCCCAGACAGGGCAUGGGAUUCUAACUCCUUCUUUCUCUUUUCCCCUCUAGUGGACAUCGGUUGAGCUCCAGACAGCUUGAGUGCUCCUAAGCCAUGAAGCUUCCAGGGCACUCACAAUUUCAAAUUCUCUGUUUCCAAUUUUGGACAAUGAGUUCUGAAUUUCAGUUCUGGAGAUACAGGUAGAGGAUACCUGUUGACCUUGGCCAAUCCCUUCAUAUUUCUCUCUUGGGAGCUCCCUUGAAUAAGGGGGGUCUUGAGGACACCUGCUGCCUGGUGGAGACAUCAGACUGAGAAGCACACAGCGAGUGCCUUGCUUCCCACCCUGAAAGCCCCCAGACCUGCUGGCCAGCUGAGCUCUCGGCCUUCGCAGUGAGCUCUACAACCUGGAAUCCACGGUGGGCACUGUUAAACCAUCAUUGCCUCUGACUUCUGGAGAAUAAUACUGAGCAAUUCUGUUCAAACACCUUCCAAGACCAGACUAAAGGUCUUGAGUUUAAAGGGAUGGUCAGACUUAUGGUGGACAGGAAACGUCAUAACCCAUAAAGGGCAUUCACAUUCAAAGGAAGAAUUUUAGAAAUUGUGCUUGCCAAACGAAAUACAUGCUGCCAGAUUCCAGCUCCUGGUUUGGGGGGUUGGGGGUCCACAGCAGCGUCAGAGGCAAGAAAGGACCUGGGGUAAAAUUCCACAAGCUUUCAUGAAUACACCCUAUGCCGAAUUCUUGGAAAAGCAGCUUCUUCCAAGAUGAGGUUAUAGUUUGUGCCUUUGGCUCCGUGCUGUUUCUUCUGCACAUCUCCACGGGCAACCUGCAUCUCUCUGCAGGGCCCUCUUCAAGGCGUCCGAAAACAGACCACUGCGGCCAAUUCACUUAAUGUUCUCUCUGUUCUCCUAAUACCACAUAAUGAAUAGACAACCUUCUGGAAAAUGGGGCUUUUGGUGUUUUUUUUUGAAAACCCCGGUGUCUGGUUAACCCCAAUCCUUUUCUGUCCGCGUGUUCCCUAAUGUUCAGACCCUUUCUGCUAAACUUGCAAUGACGGAUGACACGCCCAUCUUGCCGCCUCCCCAGAGGAAGCAAAAGCUUGCUGCUUUUAUUGAUCCAGGAGCCCUUCAAGAGUCACCACAUGCUCCUGGAAGCUUCUGUCCGAGGGAGGAACGUUCACUCUGACAACCCUGUGCAGACAGAAGCUCACUUCGGGCAGCUGUCCAGCCAUCCCUGCCUCUUGACAGCAGGGAGAGACGGGCCCCCACUGCUCAGUGCCAGUGGGAUUUUCGGGAGUCCUGGCCGCCACGAAGAGAGAAACGGCCUGGACUCAGCAAGGGUAGGGGCUGGCUGGCCAAAGCUGGCAGGGUCAAUGGCUCAGCAAAGGAUCAAGCAGCUGACAGUGAAGGAGGACUAUGGGUGGCAACAAGCAAAAAAAAAAAAAAAAAA
rnacentral:lncRNA from 1 species